rnacentral:rRNA from 1 species
GACGAACGCUGGCGGCGUGCUUAACACAUGCAAGUCGAACGGAAAGGCCCUGCUUUUGUGGGGUGCUCGAGUGGCGCACGGGUGAGUAACACGUGAGUAACCUGCCCUUGACUUUGGGAUAACUUCAGGAAACUGGGGCUAAUACCGGUUAGGAGCUCCUGCUGCAUGGUGGGGGUUGGAAAGUUUCGGCGGUUGGGGAUGGACUCGCGGCUUAUCAGCUUGUUGGUGGGGUAGUGGCUUACCAAGGCUUUGACGGGUAGCCGGCCUGAGAGGGUGACCGGCCACAUUGGGACUGAGAUACGGCCCAGACUCCUACGGGAGGCAGCAGUGGGGAAUAUUGCACAAUGGGCGGAAGCCUGAUGCAGCAACGCCGCGUGCGGGAUGACGGCCUUCGGGUUGUAAACCGCUUUCGCCUGUGACGAAGCGUGAGUGACGGUAAUGGGUAAAGAAGCACCGGCUAACUACGUG